GGCACAGAUGGUCUUUGCCGAGUGCCAAGGGUAUGGCAGUCGGCAAAGAAUUUUUUUUUGUUUUUUGUCUCCAAAUUUUUUUCUACUAACUUUACACUUUAUUUUGAAGCCUAAGUUAAAAUUUGACACAAUUCUCGAUAUAUUUCAUAUAUAUAUUUAAUUUAUUUCAUUUAAACGUAUUUCUUCCAAAAAUACAAUAGUGAACUACAGGUGCAUCCAAUCAUAGAAUUAGUUAGUUGGAAAAAUGAUAUUCACAAUACUUACAGGUAGCAGACAUGUUAGAUGACUUUCAUGAAGCUCAGUACGCCGAAGGACGUACUGAGGUAGAGAUGGAGGCAACUACAAAGGCGUUGAUUAUUUCGAUAGUGUUGAUUAUUUCGACAUGGUUGAUAGUGAUGAUGAGACUUAUGAUCCAACAAAUCCUGAUCAUGAAGAUUAUUUCUAGUACAUGUAAUACAAUGUUCUUUUCUAAUUAUGUUUUAUUUAUCUUGCAUUUUUUAAUUACUUCUUGCUUAUCAUUUUUAAUUUCUAAUUACCCCUUGUUUUUUCUUUCCAAUUGCAGGUGGUUGAACAAAGAUGGUGGGUAACCGUCAGAUGAACGUGUUCUCGCUUUACCAGAGGACAUGUCCUACACCAGGUCGAUGCGACCUCUACUCCCUCUCUCUCCCAGAUCCGAGCACGGAGCACGGACACAAGCAUUCCCAUACGCCCACGGCCAGAGACUCCACAGCAGCGGAUUGUGUCACUUCAGGUGAUUUAUAUUUUAUUAGUUGUUCCUUGAUAUUUACAUAUCUUCGCUUUGCAUUAUUCAAAUAUUAUGGUAAUGUUGUAGGUCCAGGUCCAGGCUUUAGAGGCCCAGCGGGAGGCCGAUCGACAAAGGAU
rnacentral:lncRNA from 1 species